rnacentral:snRNA from 1 species
GUCUUUUCGGAGAUAUCCGAUAAAAUUGGAACGAUACAGAGAAGAUUAGCAUGGUCCCUGUGCAAGGAUGACACGCACAAAUCGAGAAAUGGUCCAAAUACAA